GCCGGUGACUAUACCGGAGGGGAAACACCUCUUCCCAUUCCGAAUAGAGAAGUUAAGCCCUCCAGGGCCAAUGGUACUGUGCUGGCAACGGCACGGGAGAGUAGGUCGUCACCGGCU
rnacentral:rRNA from 1 species